rnacentral:rRNA from 1 species
UACGGGGGGGCAAGCGUUGUUCGGAAUUACUGGGCGUAAAGGGCUCGUAGGCGGCCAACUAAGUCAGACGUGAAAUCCCUCGGCUUAACCGGGGAACUGCGUCUGAUACUGGAUGGCUUGAGAUUGGGAGAGGGAUGCGGAAUUCCAGGUGUAGCGGUGAAAUGCGUAGAUAUCUGGAGGAACACCGGUGGCGAAGGCGACAUCCUGGACCAACACUGACGCUGAGGAGCGAAAGCCAGGGGAGCAAACGGG